rnacentral:rRNA from 1 species
CGGCACGCCUAACACAUGCAAGUCGAACGCAGUAGCAAUACUGAGUGGCAAACGGGUGAGUAUAAUGUGGGAAUCUGCCUUUUGGUUUGGAAUAACACGGGGAAACUUGUGCUAAUACCGAAUAAGCCUUUACAGGGAAAGUUUUAACGCCGAAAGAUGAGCCCGCACUUGAUUAGCUAGUUGGUAAGGUAAAAGCUUACCAAGGCAACGAUCAAUAGCUGUUCUUAGAGGAAGACCAGCCACAUUGGGACUGAGACACGGCCCAGACUCCUACGGGAGGCAGCAGUGGGGAAUCUUGCACAAUGGGGGAAACCCUGAUGCAGCGAUGCCGCGUGAGUGAAGAAGGCCCUUGGGUUGUAAAACUCUUUCGUCGGGGAAGAAAAUGACUGUACCCGAAUAAGAAGGUCCGGCUAACUUCGUGCCAGCAGCCGCGGUAAUACGAAGGGACCUAGCGUAGUUCGGAAUUACUGGGCUUAAAGAGCUCGUAGGUGGUUAAAAAAGUUGAUGGUGAAAUCCCAAGGCUUAACCUUGGAACUGCCAUCAAAACUUUUUAGCUAGAGUGUGAUAGAGGUAAGUGGAAUUUCUAGUGUAGAGGUGAAAUUCGUAGAUAUUAGAAAGAACACCAAAUGCGAAGGCAACUUACUGGGUCACUACUGACACUGAGGAGCGAAAGCAUGGGUAGCGAAGAGGAUUAGAUACCCUCGUAGUCCAUGCCGUAAACGAUGUGUGCUAGACGUUGGAAAUAUAUUUUUCAGUGUCGCAGCGAAAGCAUUAAGCACACCGCCUGGGGAGUAC